UAGUAUCCAGCCAAGUUUCCACUUUGUAUUUGAUCGAAAUCUCUUUUAAUGUAAGAUAAUUGUAAUUGUCUUUCUUCUUUCCCUUAUUAAUUCAUUCCCUCUCUCUCUCUCUCCUCUCUCUCUCUCUCUUUCUCUCUCUCUCUCCAGGGUCUCACUUUGUCACCUAAGCUGGAGUGUAGAGGUACAAACGCGGCUCAUUGCAGCCUUGACCUCUUAGAUUCAAAUGAUCCUCCUGCCUCAGCCUCCCAUAUAGCUGGGACCAUAGACACAUGCUACCAUGACAGGAUAAUUUUUUGUAAUCUUUUUAUAGAUACAGAGUUUCGCUUUGUUGCCCAGGCUGGCCCAAACUCAUGGGCUUGAGUGAUCCUCCAACCUCAACUUCCUGAAGUGAUGGGAUUAGAGUCAUGAGCCACUGUGCCAGAGCUGAAAUUUUGAACACUUUGAUCACCACCACCCCAUUUCUUCUACCCCCAGCUGCUGGCAAUCACGAUUCUACUCUCUGCUUCUGCACACUGAUUACCUCUCGCAGCAUGCUUUGCAGUAAUCAAGUGGUCAUGUGAUAGUUUUGGGCAGAAUGUGAACAAAAUAGGUGUGUGCUGCUUCCAGGACUGAUUCAUAGAAAAUUCCCACAUGGCAACUUCAUUCUACUCUCUUGAUGAACACAGUGACCUGGGAAGCUGUGUACUGAAGACAGCAGAGUUGGAAAAUGGAAAGACAGUAUAUCCCUAAAUGUUCUCUUGGUGGGGAGCCAUCUUUUGAUCAGAAAUGCAUUUUCUGGACUUUAUGUUACCAACAUAAACUUCUGUUACAUUAAUCCACUGAUAUUUUAGAGUUAUAUCAGUUAGCAUUUACCUUAAUUAGUAUAUAGUUUUAUGGUUCUUGUAGUGAGUCCUCACCAUAUUACCAUUUAUUUCCUCUCUAGGCACAUUAUAGUAUGGCUUUCUGACACUCUUGCUGAUUAUGGAAGCUCCCCAAACAAGACUACACUGGAAAAAUAAUACUUUGUAGUCAGGGAUUACUGAAAUCUUUAAAAUAUCUCUCUGUGGCUUUUCAAAAUAUUCUCUCUCUGAAUUUCUGAUUUCUGUGAGAGAAAACUGCCACCUUCAAGAGAGCAGUCUGUGCUCAAGUGAGAGUGCCACUUUGUAGUUUCCAGAAGCCACAACCUAGCAAGGCCCAGUUUUCCUAGUUGAGUGCUGAAUUGCAACAAUUUUUCAACAAGGAAGGGUCUGAGAGAAGAUCCCAUAAUUUUCAUGCUGCUAUUAGGGCCAGAUUCUUUUCCUAAUUAAAUUAAUAUCAUAAAAUAAGUAACAAUCCUAUCUCUUAUCCUCCAAGGUGACCUGUGAAGUACUACCACAGAACACAUUUUGAAAACUUAGGGCAGCUACUUAAUUGCACUAACAGUAAGGAUAAGAGGAUAUAGUUGGCCUCAUAUAUGUCUUCUUUCAUAAAGUAUCUGUUCAUAUCCUUUGCCCACUUUUGAAUGGGCUUGUUUGUUUUUUUCCUGUAAAUCUGUUUGAGUUCUUUGUAAAUUCUGGAUAUCAGCCCUUUGUCAGAUGGGUAGACUGCAAAAAUUUUUUCCCAUUCUGUUGGUUGCCGAUCCACUCUAGUGACUGUUUCUUUUGCUGUGCAGAAGCUGUGGAGUUUCAUUAGGUCCCAUUUGUCUAUUUUGGCUUUUGUUGCCAAUGCUUUUGGUGUUUUGUUCAUGAAGUCCUUGCCUACUCCUAUGUCCUGGAUGGUUUUGCCUAGAUUUCCUUCUAGGGUUUUUAUGGUGCCGGGUCUUAUGUUUAAGUCUUUAAUUGUCACUGGUCAUCAGAGAGAUGCAAAUCAAAACCACAUUGAGAUACCAUCUCACGCCAGUUAGAAUGGCGAUCAUUAAAAAAUCUGGAGACAACAGAUGCUGGAGAGGAUGUGGAGAAAAAGGAACACUUUUACACUGUUGGUGGGAGUGUAAAUUAGUUCAACCAUUGUGGAAGACAGUGUGGCGAUUCCUCAAGGCCUUAGAAAUAGAAAUUCCAUUUGACCCAGCAAUCCCAUUACUGGGUAUAUAUCCAAAAGACUAUAAAUCGUUCUACUAUAAGGACACAUGUACACGAAUGUUCAUUGCAGCACUGUUUACAAUAGCAAAGACCUGGAAUCAACCCAAAUGCCCAUUGAUAAUAGACUGGAUUGGAAAAAUGUGGCACAUAUACACCAUGGAAUAUUAUGCAGCAAUCAGAAAUGAUGAGUUUGUGUCGUUUGUAGGGACAUGGAUGAAUCUGGAAAACAUCAUCCUCAGCAAACUGACACAAGAACAGAAAAUGAAACACCGCAUAUUCUCACUCAUAGGUGGGUGAUGAAAAAUGAGAACACAUGGACACAGAAAGGGGAGUACUAAACAGUGGAGUCUAU